rnacentral:rRNA from 1 species
CCUACGGGUGUCAGCAGUGAGGAAUAUUGGUCAAUGGACGAGAGUCUGAACCAGCCAAGUAGCGUGAAGGAUGACUGCCCUAUGGGUUGUAACCUUCUUUUAUAAAGGAAUAAAACGUGGCGCGUGUGCCUUUUUGCAUGUACUUUAUGAAUAAGGAUCGGCUAACUCCGGGCCAGCAGCCGCGGUAAUACGGAGGUUCCGCGCGUUAUCCGGAUUUAUGGGGUUUAAGGGGAGCGUAGAUGGGUGGGUAAGUCAGUUGUGAAAGCUUGCGGCUCAACCGUAAAAUUGCAAUUGAUACUGGCAGUCUUGAGGACAGUGGAGGUAGGCGGAAUUCGUGGUGUAGCGGUGAAAUGCUUAGAUAGCACGAAGAACCCCGAUUGCGAAGGCAGCUUACUAAACUGUGACUGACAUUGAUGCGCGAAAGUGUGGGUAUCAAACAGGAUUAGAUACCCUUGUAGUC